UACGGAGGGUGCGAGCGUUGUCCGGAAUCACUGGGCGUAAAGGGCGCGUAGGCGGUUUGCUAAGUCACUUGUGAAAUCCCGGUGCUCAACGCCGGGGCUGCAGGUGAGACUGGCAGACUGGAGCUCGGUAGAGGCGAAUGGAAUUCCCGGUGUAGCGGUGGAAUGCGUAGAUAUCGGGAAGAACACCGGUGGCGAAGGCGGUUCGCUGGGCCGAUGCUGACGCUGAGGCGCGAAAGCGUGGGGAGCAAACAGGAUUAGAUACCCUGGUAGUCCACGCUGUAAACGAUGGGUACUAGGCGUCGGGGGGAGCGACCCCCUCGGUGCCGUCGCUAACGCAGUAAGUACCCCGCCUGGGGAGUACGGCCGCAAGGCUGAA
rnacentral:rRNA from 1 species